UGAUAUAGUAAUAUCGGAAGAAAAGUCCAAAAAUGUUGGAUGCACCGUCAAAAUGUGUAAUACCCUAAUCGCAACACUGACACCCAGAAAAGAACGAGUCUUUCUCCAACUCCAAAUCCAUACAAAGCCGCCGCCGUGAAUGGAUGACCGGAAUUCCUCCCCCACAACCACAGCCGGCGGCGGGGAUAGCGGCGAACGGAUUAAGCUCAACGUCGGAGGCAAGCUCUUCGAGACAACCGUCUCCACUCUCCGGUCGGGAGGUCCGGAUUCCCUCUUGUUCGCCCUCUCAAACCGGCCGGCGCAUGAUGCCGUUUUCAUCGACAGGGACCCGGAAAUUUUCUCCAUCCUCCUCUCCCUCCUCCGCUCCAAUCGCCUCCCCUCCACCGCCAAAGGCUUCUCAAAUCAAGAGCUGAUCGACGAGGCCCUGUACUUCGGCAUCGAGUCCCAACUCAAGGCAGCGCUCGCCCCAAUUCCUUUCAAUGGCAUAGGCGCUUCUCUAUUCACCACCGUUAAACCCUCCUCCGACGGCGUCGUUUCCGACUUCAACGCCAUCGACUCGGAUGGAUCGUUGUGGAUGGCCCACGGCGGGCAGAUUUCCGUCUACGAUUGGAACCUAACCCACACGGCAACAGUGCGUACGCAUUUUGAUUUCAUCGAUUCGGUGAAGAGAAUCCGGCCGGAGAUUGCUGCCGUCGGGUCCUCCAAUGCAUCGGGCUUACAUAUCUUUAACAUGGCUGACGGGCGACGAAUCCACUCGGUCGAUUGGGUUGACCCCUCCGAUGUGAGGAUAUACAAGGCCCGAGUUCACGCGAUCGCUGACUCGGAGGAUUCUGUAUUCGCUUCCUACGAUUGCCAACAUGGGGAGAAUUGCAUUUUAAUGAUCGACAAAUCGACAAUGAAGAUUUCGUCCGAGUUCGGGAGAAUGUCCGGCAGUUCCACGAAACAGCAGGUCCCUUCGAAGCUCAAGUACAUUUCAGACAUUGGGCUUUUGUUUGGUAGUUCUGUGACUUCAGGACCGUUUGGGUGUUCAGGCUACAUUCGGUUAUGGGACCCGAGAACCCAAAAUGUUGUCUGGGAAGCCAACGAGCCAGGCUCCGGGAGGAGCAGCCGAUUUGGGGAUUCCUUUGCGGCUGCAGAUGUCGAUUUGGACGAGUUGUUGCUCUUCAAGGUUUGCUCCACCUCAGGAGAUGUGGGCAUGGCGGAUUUGCGGAAAUUGAGCGACGAUCCAUGGAUUUAUUUGAAAGAAAAGAAUCCAAGCAUGAGGAGUGCAAGAGGGAUUAGUAUUGGCAGUUUCGUCUUGCAUUGUUACCGAAAGCAAGUGUUGGUAGGGAGUGAUGGCGAGCUGGAGGUGUGGUCGAGGGUGGAGGGCAAUGGGAACUCGGAGGAGAUUGCAGUUGAAGAUUUAUAUAGGAGGAACUACGUGGAUAAAGUGGAGGAUUCGGAGAGAGGUGUCAUCAAGAAAAUAGAAGGAGGUUGGGAUAGGCUUUUUGUGACUAGAGAAGAUGUCGAGGGGAUUGAGACUUGAAGUCGUCGACGUCCCAACACCAACCAUUGUAUGAAGGCAUGAGAUUUUCUUCACAAAUCCUAUUCAGCCUAUUUCUUGAGUCUCUCUUCUACGCGCUCAGCUGCAAAAACUGAAAAAUAAAGGGUUGACAU